rnacentral:misc_RNA from 1 species
GGACUACACGGGUUUCUAAUCCUGUUCGCUCCCCAUGCUUUCGCUCCUCAGCGUCAGUUACGGCCCAGAGAUCUGCCUUCGCCAUUGGUGUUCCUCCUGAUAUCUGCGCAUUCCACCGCUACACCAGGAAUUCCAAUCUCCCCUACCGCACUCUAGUCUGCCCGUACCCACUGCAGGCUGGAGGUUGAGCCUCCAGUUUUCACAGCAGACGCGACAAACCGCCUACGAGCUCUUUACGCCCAAUAAUUCCGGACAACGCUUGCACCCUACGUAUUACCGCGGCGGCUGGCACCG